ensembl:lncRNA
AAUACAUCCAUCCACAUUCCCUUCUGCCUUACAUCUCCCUGCCCCGCCUUUUAAAAUGCCAUUACAAAUCAGCCUUUACAUGUUCCCAGUAGCUCCCAUCAGCAACGGGAAGAACAACUAAUAAACCCGUACUAAGAUUACAAUUUUGGCUAUGUAAAAGCAAAUGAGAUCAUUCUUAGUACUUGUUGGGAAGGAAAAAAACAAGUCCUGUUCAAAAGGAUAUUAAACUGAAGACUACUACUUAGAGUAAAGAAGAUCACAGGAAAAAGGCAAACAAGGGUAAUCACAAAACUUAUCAACAAAUUACUAUAAAAACAAAGUGGUCCCUUUUUUCUCAAUUUACAUUAAGGUACACAGGAUUUUGCUAAAGUAUACAGAAUUCAAAUAAGAAUCUUAAGAAUAUUUUCCCAGUAGUAAAAAGUGACACUCUUGGGAAUCUUAGGGCCGGAAUGCCAAGGACCACAGUGCUAUCAGCUGUGAGAUACAGGCUGUGGGGAAGUGUAUGACCCAAACUUCUCUGAAGCAUUUAAGGGCUCUUUGCUUCUCUACAAUUGUCCUUCCUGAAACAUUCAGAAGGUCCUCAGGCCUCUGAUUCCAGAAAAUACCUCGGCAUGUUGCUGCCCUUAUCUACGCCAGUCAAGGUGGAACACAUUUUUAAAGUUAAGCGAAUAUAUUUAGUGGGAUUUUUAAAAAGCUAGAUACACAGUAAAUCAUGGGUAAGAUGGAGGAAGAGUCCAAAGAAAAGAAAGAAGGAGGAAGGGAGAAAGGAAAAGUAAACUACCUCACCAUGUAAGUGUAAUCAUUUCCUACCAGGAUGAGAUGUCUUGCCCCUGAAGAACUUUCCCUGAACGUUUGUCCUAAUAAAUAUAAAUUUUGAACGAAGAUUCUCAUUCUCUUUUUAACUUCAGUAACACCUAGUUUGCUUUAUUUCACUCAUUUGUUUGCUUGUGAAUAACAACUGAACAGAACUAAGUUAGUAACCCAGAGAACUAAAGUGCCAUGCCAAGAAAUGACAUGUUGAUUCUCAACUUUGGACAGAGUACUUCUUUUCUGGUCAUUCCUUUCAGCCACUGAUACAAACAAAUAAAAUCAUCCAGUCAAAAUUUCGAAUGAUGAGAAGUUUCCUAAGCAGUUCUAAGCACACUGCUUUUACUUUCCAUAGUUCAGCAAAAUAUUACGGGAUUACUGGGGCUUUAAAAUGGUCCAAGCUGUAGCCCACAGAUCUGCACUAGCUCACAGAAUGCCACGGUUUGGUUUGCUUCUGACUGUGAUCACAGAGUAAUACUAACGAAAUCUUGCUAUUUGAAAGAAUUAUUAAUUUUUGAAUUACAAUUAGAAUACAAUUAGAUUAUUCCACAUUACCCAGUGAAUUAUUAUAGGUGCCAACAUUCACAGUUUAAUCCAAUGAAGAAACUGAGCCUAUAUAAAAAUAACCGCGACCAAAGUAGAAGAAAAGCUACAUGAACAACUGAACUCAAUCUUAACGGUUCCUUCGGAUAACUACUCUCUAUUGACCCAAAUAAACCAAUUUACUGGGUCAAGAGAGAGCAUGAAGGAACUAAGGCCUCUGUUAGAAAUGAGGAAAUAUGAAAUUACUCAUGCAUGUAACAUGUAUAACAUACAGAACAAGCAUUUCUCAAAAUGUGACCAGUUUCAAUAGGUUGGAUAACUUCAGCCCCCAAAACUCUAUUACUACUGCUUUUUGGAAAUAAUUAAAAAUAUCUCAAUACAGUUUAGAAACUUUGAUAAAAUAAAUAUAAAAGUAAUAACAUCAAAUAAACUGGUCUUUUGUUCAUUUGAACUCCUGACAUGGGGAUUAUAAGCCACAACAGAUUUCUUUUUUCAAGUAUCUGAAAUACAAGGAAUGAUUUUUUUUAAAUGAGUUGCAAUACACCAACCAGUACAGGGCUGGUUUCUGUGAUCUCCUCUUAAUUGGCGGCAGCAGUGGUAACCAUCUAAUUCUUAGGAUGGACAACUGACUUUUGAAUAUCUCAGUAAUGAGUUCUCCAUUCUUUGAUCUGCUCAAGCCAAAAGCCUGAAGAGGUAUCUUGGACUCCUUCCUCUCCCUUUCUUGCAUAUUUGUAUUCAAACCAUCAACAGAUCCUCAUGCUCCUUUCCUCCCAUAUAUUUCCAGACUCCAACUACUUAUCAUCCCUACCACCAUUACCAGGGGUGAAGCAAACACUCCCUCUGGACUACUGCAAGUAUUCCUCCUAAUUGGUCUCUCUGCUUCCACCCCUGCCCUUCAAGACCAUUCCCAACAUAAAACUCAAGGUAAUCCUUUUAAAAGCCUAGGUGGGUAGGAAAGAAGCUGGCCUUGCCCAGAAGAGACAUCUGGCCUUUGCCCUCAGCUAGUGGGAGGUAACCUGUGUCAUAUCUAAUAGACGUGUCCUUGUUUAGGCCGGGGUUGGCCACACUGGAUCUUAGGGUAGGGUUGGCCAUACGAGAAGGACCAAUCAUGUGAUUUAGGGUGGGAGCUCUGGCUCGCAUGGUAUCAGCAGACGUGGUGAUGGAGCUCAACUCUGUGGGCAAUCAAUCAAUCAAACAUGCUACCUCAGGAAGCUCUAAUAAAAACUCUAGACACCAAAUAUCAGAAGAGAUUCCUUGGUUGGCAACACUCCACAUGUACGGUCACAUAUCAGGACCAGGAGGGUAACACUGCCCAGACUCCAUGGGAGAAGAGAACAGAAGAUUCACAUGAGAACCUUCCCCAGACUCUGCCCCGUGGCUUCCUUUGGCUUACUUUGAUCUGUAUCUUUUCCCUUUAAUAAACCAUAACAAUCAGUGUAACAGCUUUCAGUGAGUUCUAUGAGUAGUCCUUCCAGCAAAUUUUCAGACCUGAAGGUGGUUUUGGAAACACCCCAAACUUGCAGUUGGUGUGAGAAGUGAGAGCAGUCUUGGAAAUCACACCUCAAAACUCACAGUUUGGCUAAUGCUGGGAAGGUAUCACUUUAUUUUUUACAGUUUUCUUCAAAAUUAAGUAAGAGUUUCUAGAAUACAUGUAAUCUUCCUUUUCUGUUGGUUCCUUCUCUGCCUGUAAAUAGGGUCUACCCUUCAACUUUUUAAGAGAAAACCAAAGUACCUUGUCUUCUGUCCUCUUUUCUUUCCAUCGACUGCCUCUAGCCUCUUCAAAUCUUCCCAGUAGUCUACACUCAAGGGAGUCAAAUUUUAAUUCUAAAAUUCUAUCAUAUUCUCAUAUAUCUGCUGUAUAACAUGUCUACUCCUCCAGGAAGGGAAAGACAAAUCAAGAAAUAUAAAAGAUUUUCAAGCAGCACAGCUUCAUAUUAUCUGAGCUGCAUUAGAGAUUAAAACAAACAGCAAUCUUUUGGCCAGAACCACGGUUUCAUCCUGAGGCCCCCAACCACUGGCACCUGCUUCACCAGUCUUGAUACUGCAUACUCCCACAAUUGUGCUCAUUUUACAAGCUCAUUUUAUCACUCAGAAAGAUUCCACUUGGCUUGGCUACAGUUACCAAAGCCUUACUGUCUUGCUUCAGGCUUCCAAAUUUUAAAUGGCACUAUUUAACAUUUGCGCAGAUUGGAUUCCUUGCCUUAUUAGUUAAUUAGGGGUCAAGUAUUCCACACUGGUAGUGUGAUAUGUUUAAAACUGAAGGGAAAAUUUUGUUUUUAAACCAGUAUGACCAAAGACUUUAUAAUGUGAAUAUUUUAAAAUCUUAUUUUAUAAAGUAAACAAGGGACCCCUCUCAAGAGAAAAAAAUUAAUAAAGACUUCACAAUAGUUGUACGUUAUCUUCAGGAUAAGGAGCCUUAAUAGAAUUCAAGAUCCUUACAUGGGAUUCAAGAACUAUAUGCACACAAAUAUAGCUUUACACUUCCUACAAGAGGCAACAGUUGUCUGUUUUAUACACAGACACAGUUUUCUCUGGACAAUUUCUGCAGUAUCUCUCUCUGCUCACCCAGCAAUCUCUCACACUGUCCCCUCAGCCUCAAAAAUUCUUCCCCCAUGUUUCUCCAGGUCCUUCUUACCCCUCAAGGUGCAGAUCUCACCAUACUAGAGAGGAUGAUAGCUUCUCACAAACAAGGUCACUCCCAUGUCUACUCCCUCUGACAGCUUCCCUUUCCAACAUGAACCACUCCAGUCCAAUAUGUCUUCUCACUAGACCGGAAGCUCGAGAGCAGAAACCAUGUCUUUCUUCCUGCUACGCCCAUAGUGUUUUGCACAGAUUUGUUGAAUGAAUGAGUCCAGAAGCAGAAAAUGUACUGACUCUAAAGGUUUUGAGUCUAUUACUAGUUCAAAUUACAUAAUUUUAUUAACAGUUCUUUACAAAAAUCCAUUGCAAAAGGAACAUCUUUCUUUGAAGUGAGUUAUUUGCUUAUAAUUAUGAUAUUAGACGGUUUUUCAACAAUAAAACUUCAGUAUCAGUUCUUGAGUGUUUGGAGUGAAGUGCAUACGUUUUUCACCAGGAAUUUAGAGUAGAAAGAAUAUAAAUGCAAAAGUAAUGGCUGCCUAAUGAAGUUUUAAGUUAAUUUCCAAAGUCAAUUAAUAUCAUGCCCAAAGGGCUUUACAACAACAACCAAAAACCUCUUUUUGUUAAGCAUAGGGUCAGCCCUACGUUCAAACAUGUGCAAAAUUUUAAUGUUUUAUUCAGGAAUGAUUUCCUCAUAAAAGGCUCAAUUUCUUUAUAAAUAGUAUCUAUCAGAUUAGAAAUUAACAAGUCACACUGUACAGAACCGACUGAAUUCAUUUUUAAAUAAUAAACUAUCUAGGACAAAAUAAACUACCACAGACCCGAAUUUCAUUUCCCUCAGCACCCUAAAAGAAGCAGAAAGCAGAGUGGCUGCUCUGGUCAAAGCCUGCAGCCCACAGCAUGAGAAAGAGCUGUCGAAUUUGUCUCAUUACAUACAUUUUUUUAUCCUUUUAUAUACCUAUUCUGUAACCUUAAUCAUCUCAACUAAGUUUAUCAAGGGCAUGGAUGCUCUGAUAUCUCUAUCACCAGAACUUAGCAAAGACCUUAAAUACACUAAUAGAAGGAAUUAAAUAAGCACACUGAAUAUGUAACAGCAAGAUGGAAGUUCAGGCCAGAGCUGAACUUACCCAUAAGCCAACCAUAAGUUUUGUGUAAGCUGAUCAUUCUAAAUACAAUCCACACAAGCAAUUCAGUGCAAAUGAGAUCAUGUCUUCCUUCUCUCCUGAUGCAAUGAAGGAAGCGCCUAUUCUGUGUGAACUCAACCCUUUCACCUUUGCAGGAGCUAUUUCAAUUACCUGCUUUCCUUCUCUACCAGUUUUAUUUAAACUUUCCUUUUAUUUAAACACACUCGAGUCUCUCCCAACUUGCAACAAAACACUUCUUUGGGCCCCUCAACUACCUUUCUCACUGCCCAAGUCCUUCAUACCCAAACUUCUUCAAAUAGCAGCUCACAUCUCUUCACCUCCUCCUCACUCCUGAACUCAUGCAGGCACUAUGCAAGUGAAGCAGUAAAGCGCUAAGCCAUAAAACUCAAGAUGAAAAUAAUUUACAUACAAAAUUAUAAACAGUCAUUUAAACAUCUUAAGCAUGAUAAAUUGAGAAACUUAUCCAAUUCUCUUUCCACUCUAUGCCUUCUCCUACCUCUCUAAUUUUACAUCAAGCCCCUUCCCUCUUUACCUUUCACUGUGGCAAGAUCAGAAACUGCACCAAUUCCAAAGUGCAUCAUGCUUCUUUGCGUAGGUCUUUGUCGGUUUUUCUCCCUCUGUUUUGAAUGCUUUUCCAACCUUUGUGGAUUUAACUCUUCAUCAUUCUUCAAGGCCAAAUUCAAAUAACAUCUCCUCUCUGCAGCUUUCCCUACCACCUCAUCCAAUGUAAAACUACACCUGACAGCAUGCAACACAUCCUAUUCUAUCUCCCUACCUGCCUGCCUCUUCAGCUGCACUGAAUUCCUGGAGGGCAGACAUUACAUUAACUGAAAUCAUAAGAGUUUCAAAGAUCUGUGAAAUCCCUAAAAUUGCGGGCAGUAUUUUGUGUAUCUUAAUGUUUUUGGAGAAAAAGUCUAUAGCAAAUAUCAGUCUGUCAAAAAGGCAUGUGACCCCAAAGAAGUUAAAAAUUACUGCCCCCAAAAUUAGCGCAGUAUCUAACACAUAUUAGACACCCAUUAACUAUCUAUUCAAUUGUCAUCAAAAUACUACAAAGUGACUGCACAGUGGUAAAUCAAAAUAUCUAUUUUGGGGUGGGAAAGGGAAAGACAAAUCUCGCUUACAGAAGAAUUCUAAAUGACAUAGGUAAAUACUCCCCAAUCCAGGAGGUGAAGCCUAACACCCCACCCACCACAGACACAGAUGCACGCACACACACAUGCACUCACACACAGAGUCCUUCAGGGUAGGCUACACUUAGGAACUCGCUUCCAAGGAAGAUGGGGGCAAAGGCAAAGAGAGUAACUUUACAGUAGGAAACCUGGCAAAUAGGAUUUUAACCAAGUGACAAAGAUGAACCUCAGCCAUGAUGUCAUGUGACUACCAUACACGUUCUAAUAUGAGGUCAUGAGCGGUCACUUCACCUCUGGGGUAUUGUUUCCAAAAAUCCAUAGCCCAGUCUAAUGAGAAAAAAAUGUCAGACCAACCCAAAUUGAUGAAUAUCCUACAAAAUGUCUGACUAGCACUCCUCCAAACUGUCAGGGUGAUGAAAAGCAAGGAAAGACUGAGAAACUGUUGCAGCCCAGAGGAGACGGAGACAUGACAACAAAAUGCAAGAUGGUCCACUAGGCUGAACCCUGGAACUGAAGGAAGACACACAUGGAAAAACUGGAGAAACCCAAAUAAAGCCUGGGGUAUACUACUAACAUACCACUGAUGGUUUCUUAGUUUGGACAAAUGUACCAUGGUCACAUACAAUUUUAACAGUGGGGUAAGCUGGUGAGGUGUAUAUGGAUACUCUGUGCUAUCUUUAAGUUUUUCUGUAAACAAAAAAACCCUAAAAUUAUUUUAAAAUAAAAGGUAUGUAUGUAUGUAUUAUUUUAGAGAUGGGGUCUCUCUCUGUUGCCCAGGCUGGUGUGCAGUGAUGUGAUCAUAGCUCACUGCAGCCUUGAACUCCUGGACCCAAGGGAUCCUCCCACCUCAGACUCUCGAUUAGCUAGGGCUAUUAUGUGCAUGCCACCAUACAUAGCUAAUUCUUUGGGGGCUUUUUGGUAGAGAUGAAGGUCUCACCAUCUCACUGGGCUCAAUCUCCAGGUCUCAAGCAAUCCUCCCAUCUUGGCCUCCCAAAGUGCUGGGAUUACAGGCGUGAGCCAGCAUGCCUGGCCAAAAGGUUUACUUUUUAGAGUCUUUUUAUCUAGUUAAAAAUCUCUCAGAUUCCCAGUUUCUAAACUUCAAAGAAUUAUUAGCAAACAGGUCAGUUAUCCAAUCUCCAUUAAGCUGCAUUAGAUAUGUUAUAAAUGGUGUUAUACUCAAACCAAAGCAAAAAUCUGUUGAGUCUAUUACAAUUAUGAAAAUUACAACUUAAAAGUUGGUGAUUGGUAUCUAUUUCUUGAUGAUGAAGCUUCAAAUGUGUAAUCAGUGACUUUUCAAUUCUAAACCACCCAACUCGCUACAUCCAAGCACGGUGUUGUGCCAGGCACUGGGACGCAGUAAGGAGUGGGAAAAGGCAAUAAUCAAUUGUUAGCCAUAAUGACAGGGGAAAUACAGGGUGCAAUGGAAGCAGAGAGCAGAAGCAUCUAACAGUCUGAAUGAGAUUAUUAUGGAAGGACCAGGAAAAAUGUAAAAGUAAAACUUAGAAUAAGGCCUGAAGGAUGAGAAGCAUUAGCCAAGAAAAGAGGAAGACUGAGUGUACCAGAGAAAGAAAACAGCACCCACAAAGACCACAAGCGAGAGAACAGGGCCAGUUGUUCAGGAUGGCUAUUGCUGAAAGUGCUAGGCAGGGCCUGGCGAGAAAUCAGACAACCAGAUUUUCAAUCUGCUUCAGGAGCUGUGCCUAGAAACUUGGCCUUGAGUUUCUUUAGCUUUCCCAACAAUUCUAGAGCAACUAAAAACCUUUGUAUUUAAUUCAUUAGUUGCCAUUAAGACCCUGACCAACACAAUCCCUCUUAUGAAAAGAAUCCACCUCCAUCAACAGCAAAACAAAACAAAACAAAACAAAAACAAGUGUUUAAACACAGGUCUCUGUGCUCAUUUCUAUUUAUACAAUCAUAUUUCCCUCCAGCAUGUGCACAGACAGGAAUGGCAGGCUUACAAGAUGCAAAGAUGAUGAAACAUGGACAGACACAGCUAACCCAAUUUUUUAGGUUCUACACUUACGUUCAAGUACAUCAACUGCACAAAUAUAGCCAGAGAUGAGCCUAGGAGAAAGGGAAUAAUUACCAGAACACUAAUCCCACCAUACUGCAUACAAGCCAAAAAUAUAAAAUGAACCUCUCAGUCUUACCCUUCCUGCGAACAGAGGACCCGCUUGCCUGCACUCAGUAGGACAUGUGAUUAAAAGUGUGGCUUGUGAGGCCAAACUGCAUGGUUCUGAAACCUGGUUCUACCAUUUACAGGCUGUAUGACAUCAGGCAAAUUACUUACCUUCUUUAAGCCAGUUUCCUCCUUGCGACACAUGGACAUUAACAGUACUAGCUUACGAAUUUAGUUGGAUGUUUCAAUGAGUUAAUAUACAUCAGCUGUUACUAACAUCCACUAUAUAUUCCCACAGGGGUAUCCAAUUCUCUGGAGUCCCAAUGACAAGUCACCUUUUCUUUCACCCUCUAGAAAGCAUGUCAUCAGAGAAUAACAAACAUUAUCUUCAAUCUACUUGAUCCACUGCUGCAUAUAAUUGAAGUCAUUCUCAAAACUUAAUUUACUAAUAGCAUAGUCUGUACAACCCCCAAGUAAUGACCACAAUGCAGUCUGUCAUGACAGCUAUGACAAAAACUGACCUAGAUCACGAGAAAAGGACAGCUGCUGUCCUCACAGCUGCCCCGCCUCACUUCCUGCUAACAGACCCCGCUUCUGUUUGGCCAUCAGCUUGCCAUGUGCUUUCAGGCAGGCUGGGCCCAUCCCCAUUCCCUACAUCAGCAGCAUCAGCUUCAACCAGGAACUUGUGAAAAAUACAAAUUGUCAGUCCCCAAUCCAACCUAGAGCAGAAACUCUUCAGGUAGGGCCUGGCAAUCUGUGUUUUGAUAAGUUCUCCUAGUCAUUCUGAUGCAGACCAGUUUGAAAACCACGGACCAAGAACCACUGAACUAAGAAUGGCAACUCCAUAUCUGUAAGUUUAGAAAUGGGGUAUACAACAAUUCUAGCCAAGGAGGUGCAACUUCUAGAAAUUCUGCUUACUCUUAAAAAUGAAGACAAAGAAGGGACCUUAUCUCUUCUGGCCUUUAGAAUGUCGUUGAUUAGAGAUUUGAUGCUUAGACCCUCUGUAGCUAUCUCAUGACCCCAAGGGCAAGCCAAAACAGAUCCACCAUGCUGGGUCCUUGAUGGAAUCAAGCCGAUAAAAUAACCAACCAAGAACCUGCACUACCUAUAGGAGCUCCUGAUAUGUGAGAUAUUAUCACACUUCAUCAAAUGCAAGGCUCGUCAGCGGUUAAGAUGCAUCAUUAUUUUGUUAAUCAUAGUGAGGAAAAAAAUGUUGUCAAAUUGAUGCACCAUGGUUUUAAAUGGACCACGUGUCUCAAUUUCAGAAAUAAUCACAUAUGAAUAAAAUGUACAUCUCAGAAACAAACAGAAAAAAAGUAAAUUCCUUAUUGUUUCAGCCAGAUGAGUAGGGGGUUUCUGUUGUUUGCUGCUAAAAACAUCACAAUUUAUUUUUUUUAAAAGGAUAUUAUGUUCAAUUCUGAGUAUUCAAUAAAAUGCAGCAUAUACAGAUGAUGGACAGGAAUAAUGUGAGUCUGAAGCUGAGAUGGCCUCUUAGGGGGAAAAAAGGAAUAAUGGUGGGGAAUCCUUAAAUAAAAGGAAGAGACAGUGAAAUAUUUAGACAAAGAAAAUAAAUAAAGUUUAGAAGGAGGCAUCAUAACUGUCCUCCACUAUCUGAGGGACUCCAAUACUGAAAAAGUAGACUUUGUGUAGCUCCAGAUAAAGUGAGGAAAGGCUGACUAACCUCUGAAUGAAAUCUACCAAUGUAAGGAUGCCUUAAAAAAUGGUUCACAGGCCAGGUGAGGUGACUCACGCCUGUAAUCCCAGCACUUUGGGAGGCUGAGGUGGAUGGAUCACGAGGUCAGGAGAUUGAGACCAUCCUGGCUAACAGAGUAAACCCUAUCUCUACUAAAAAAUACAAAAAAAAUAGCCGGGCGCAGUGGCGGGCGCCUGUAGUCCCAGCUAAUCAGGAGGCUGAGGCAGGAGAAUGGCGUCAACCUGGGAGGUGGAGCUUGCAGUGAGCCGAGAUUGCGCCACUGCAGUCCAGCCUAGGUGACAGAGCAAGACUCCCUCU